rnacentral:lncRNA from 1 species
UUGUUUUACAUUAAAAUAGAUUAUUUUAAUUAAUAUUUUUAUUUUAUUUUAUUAUUCAAAAAAAAAAAGAAGAAAGAGAGAGGAAUGGAAAAACUGGUACAAAAGCUUUGCAAGGUCUUGAAAGGCAUUCGGGGGAAGAAUGUUUGUCGAGGCUUCGCGACUGUUGUCACGGGCUCGAUGAUAGUUCCGGGUCAUGAUAAUAUAUAUGCUAUAGAUAUGUUUUUAUAUGCUAUAGAAAGGGGUAUGAAAAUAAUGUGUGAUUACAUUGAAUAUUGAGAAAACUUGAUUAUUGUCAAUGUGUUCAAUUUAAUGUACAAUGUGGCAUGAGUGAAUUUUCCUUGUGGCAGUAAAAACCCCUUAGAUUUUAUCUGGCCAGAAUUUUGCUAUAGCGAGA